GAUGAACGCUGGCGGCGCGCCUAACACAUGCAAGUCGAACGGCACCCCUCCUCGGAGGGAAGCGAGUGGCGAACGGCUGAGUAACACGUGGAGAACCUGCCCCCUCCCCCGGGAUAGCCGCCCGAAAGGACGGGUAAUACCGGAAACCCCGGGGUGCCGCAUGGCACCCCGGCUAAAGCCCCGACGGGGGGGGAUGGCUCCGCGGCCCAGCAGGUAGACGGCGGGGUGACGGCCCACCGUGCCGACAACGGGUAGCCGGGUUGAGAGACCGACCGGGCGGAUUGGGACUGAGACACGGCCCAGACUCCUACGGGAGGCAGCCGGGGGGAAUCUUGCGCAAUGGGGGGAACCCUGACGCAGCGACGCCGCCUGCGGGACGGAGGCCUUCGGGUCGUAAACCGGUUUCAGCAGGGAAGAGUCAAGACUGUACCUGCAGAAGAAGCCCCGGCUAACUACGUG
rnacentral:rRNA from 1 species